rnacentral:lncRNA from 1 species
GACAUUUUGGCGACCAUGAUGGGACUUGAAGCAGAACUUCAGCAAUCCUCAUCGCUUUGUCAACAACUUGAGCCUUGGUACCAGCACAAAUGAUUUUCAUUUUCCUGACUUCACAGGCUAUGCAAAUCUCUGGAAGGAGUAAAAGGGCAGAGCAAGGCAGGACUGUAACAGAAGUUACCUCGAAAUGGAAAUAUAUGAUGGGGGCUGAUAGGCGGUUGAAAAUAAUCAGUAUUUGGAGAAUUAUGAGAAGAGCAGCCGAGACUGGAGCAGCCACCACAGGAUAUUCUCAUUUGGGCUGAGUUUGGAAACAACAGCCAAUGUUUACUAAAUGAUUCCAGUGCUGAGGGCUUUAUAUGUAUUUUUCUUCAUAAUGUCCUGAGGAGUUAAGUUCUUUUUUUUUUUUUUUUUUGAGACGGAGUCUCGCUCUGUCACCCAGGCCAGAGUGCAAUGGCGCGAUCUCGGCUCGCUGCAACCUCUGCCUCCUGGGUUCAAGCGAUUCUCCUGCCUCAGCCUCCUGAGUAGCUAGGAUUACAGGUGCCCGCUACCAUGCCCGGCCAAUUUUUUUGUAUUUUUAGUAGAGAUGGGGUUUCACUAUGUUGGCCAGGCUGUUCUCGAACUCCUGACCUCGUGAUCUGCCUGCCUCAGCCUCCCAAAGUGCUGGGAUUACAGGCGUGAGACACCGCGCCUGGCUGAGUUAAGUUCUCUUCUUGUAAAAGGGGAGCUGAGGCUUAAGAGAGGUCACAGAGCUCACACAUGGGGAAGGGAACACUGGAGUCAGGUGGUUGGCCCCUGGAACCCACAUUCUUACCACGUUCUCCUGCAUUCAGUCAUGGAACUUCUCACUCAGCUCAAUUUUGGCAUGAGUCACCUCAAAUGGGGUGCAGGGGCUUUUUUUUUUUUUGAGAUGGAGUCUCGCUGUCGCCCAGGCUGGAGGGCAGUGGCGCGAUCUCGACUCACUGCAAGCUCC